AUUGAACGCUGGCGGCAGGCCUAACACAUGCAAGUCGAACGGUAACAGGAGGAAGCUUGCUUCUUUGCUGACGAGUGGCGGACGGGUGAGUAAUGUCUGGGAAACUGCCUGAUGGAGGGGGAUAACUACUGGAAACGGUAGCUAAUACCGCAUAACGUCGCAAGACCAAAGAGGGGGACCUUCGGGCCUCCUGCCAUCGGAUGUGCCCAGAUGGGAUUAGCUAGUAGGUGGGGUAACGGCUCACCUAGGCGACGAUCCCUAGCUGGUCUGAGAGGAUGACCAGCCACACUGGAACUGAGACACGGUCCAGACUCCUACGGGAGGCAGCAGUGGGGAAUAUUGCACAAUGGGCGCAAGCCUGAUGCAGCCAUGCCGCGUGUAUGAAGAAGGCCUUCGGGUUGUAAAGUACUUUCAGCGGGGAGGAAGGGAGUAAAGUUAAUACCUUUGCUCAUUGACGUUACCCGCAGAAGAAGCACCGGCUAACUCCGUG
rnacentral:rRNA from 1 species